rnacentral:rRNA from 1 species
AUGAACGCUGGCGGCGUGCCUAAUACAUGCAAGUCGAGCGAACAGACGAGGAGCUUGCUCCUCUGACGUUAGCGGCGGACGGGUGAGUAACACGUGGAUAACCUACCUAUAAGACUGGGAUAACUUCGGGAAACCGGAGCUAAUACCGGAUAAUAUAUUGAACCGCAUGGUUCAAUAGUGAAAGACGGUUUUGCUGUCACUUAUAGAUGGAUCCGCGCCGCAUUAGCUAGUUGGUAAGGUAACGGCUUACCAAGGCGACGAUGCGUAGCCGACCUGAGAGGGUGAUCGGCCACACUGGAACUGAGACACGGUCCAGACUCCUACGGGAGGCAGCAGUAGGGAAUCUUCCGCAAUGGGCGAAAGCCUGACGGAGCAACGCCGCGUGAGUGAUGAAGGUCUUCGGAUCGUAAAACUCUGUUAUUAGGGAAGAACAAAUGUGUAAGUAACUAUGCACGUCUUGACGGUACCUAAGCAGAAAGCCACGGCUAACUACGU